CUCGUAGGCGGUUUGUCGCGUCGGGAGUGAAAUCCAUUGGCUUAACUGGUGGCUUGCUUUCGAUACGGCAGACUGGAGGUAUGCAGGGGAGAACGGAAUUCCUGGUGUAGCGGUGAAAUGCGCAGAUAUCAGGAGGAACACCGGUGGCGAAGGCGGUUCUCUGGGCAUGUCCUGACGCUGAGGAGCGAAAGUGUGGGGAGCGAACA
rnacentral:rRNA from 1 species